GGGGAUUCGAACUUAAACUCCCAACCCCUGUGAACAUACCUAUACGUUGCCUCGGCGGAUCAGCCCGCGCCCCGUAAAACGGGACGGCCCGCCCGAGGACCCCUAAACUCUGUUUUUAGUGGAACUUCUGAGUAAAACAAACAAAUAAAUCAAAACUUUCAACAACGGAUCUCUUGGUUCUGGCAUCGAUGAAGAACGCAGCAAAAUGCGAUAAGUAAUGUGAAUUGCAGAAUUCAGUGAAUCAUCGAAUCUUUGAACGCACAUUGCGCCCGCCAGUAUUCUGGCGGGCAUGCCUGUUCGAGCGUCAUUUCAACCCUCAAGCUCAGCUUGGUGUUGGGACUCGCGGUAACCCGCGUUCCCCAAAUCGAUUGGCGGUCACGUCGAGCUUCCAUAGCGUAGUAAUCAUACACCUCGUUACUGGUAAUCGUCGCGGCCACGCCGUAAAACCCCAACUUCUGAAUGUUGACCUCGGAUCAGGUAGGAAUACCCGCUGAACUUAAGCAUAUCAAUAAGGCCGGGAGGGAA
rnacentral:rRNA from 1 species